rnacentral:lncRNA from 1 species
UUUAUAUAUAUUAACAGAACUCUAUUAGAUGUAUUUAGACUUUUUAAUGAUUCUUCCUGGUUCCUGAUAAGCUAAGACAAUAAUUUUAUUUUUGACAGAGUGAUUUCUUCUGACUUGAGCCUGCAGUGUGCUGUGAGAGAUCCAACACCAGAUUAUCUCAACUUUGGUCUCCUGGGACCACUCAUUGGUGACAGUCAGAAAGGCAUCUGAUCUCCUGGUGUUAAAAUCUGUCGCCAUACUGAGGAAGGCCCAGAGAUCCCAGGCAUUGAGUGACUGCAUACUGUGAGUUAGUUUUUUAAUCUCUUGAAAGGGUUAAAUUGUGUAAAUUAUGAUUCAAAAUGCAAAGCUGUAUCCUAGGUAGGUUUCUGUGUGUUUAUAUAUAUUGUAUUUGCUAAGUAGAAAAAUAAGCUUUGUCAUGGGGUAGCCAUUUCCAUUUUUAACUCUUGAUGAAUGUGUAUGUUACUGAAAAGAAAGCUAUGCACCCAUUUUAAUUAAAAAAAAAAUUCGGUUCUCUUUUUUAAUGACUGAUUAAACGGAAACCUUAUUUAAGUGUAAGACAUUUAGUAAAACAAAACAGAACAAAACAGGACAUAUGAUAAUGGAG